AAGGUAACAUAAUUAUAUAUAAAAUUUUCACUAUUAUCGAUCGAUUUUCUAAGUACGUCCAUAACAUUCCCCUUUCCAAGCUUCUUUCUGCCUUGAAACUGCUAACCUUCUUGUUCUUCAUGUUUUCAAACUCCACGGUAUCCCCAUCGACAUCGUCUCGGACCGAGGUCUUCAGUUUUCCUCCCUUGUUUGGAAGGAGUUCUGUAAAGCGGUGGGCGCAGCAGCCAGCUUGUCUUCCGGGUACCACCCUCAGACCAACGGCCAGACAGAGCAGGCAAAUUAGUCUCUGGAAUCAGCCCUUUCCUGCGUAGCUGCACGCAACCCCACCUCCUGGAGCUCAUUCCUCCCUUGGAUUGAGUACGCACACUACUCCCUCACCAGCUCCACCACCGAUUUUUACGCGGCUCAAGCCGGGCAGGACGGCGGGAGGUGUCCAUUGAGAGGGGGGCACUGUCAUGAGCUGUGCCCUGGAGUACCUCUGUUGGAGCUCGGAUGGCGCUUUGUGCCCCCUUCGCUCUCUUUCUCUCUCCCAGGACCCACUGCUCCAUCAGAACUUGAGCUGCAGAAGAUAGUUGGCAAGUCUCUUCUUUAUGUGAUGAAUUUGGGACUUCCAUCACCAGCGGGUGGCACUAGUGAUGGGCACGGCAGUUCUUUUGAGUGUACGGAAUCAUUCGAAUCAUCCAUCCAUCCAUUUUCUGAGCCGCUUCUCCUCACUCGGGUCGCGGGCGUGCUGGAGCCUAUCCCAGCUGUCAUCGGGCAGGAGGCGGGGUACACCCUGAACUGGUUGCCAGCCAAUCGCAGGGCACAUAGAAACUAACAACCAUUCGCACUCACAGUCAUGCCUACGGGCAAUUUAGAGUCUCCAAUUAAUGCAUGUUUUUGGGAUGUGGGAGGAAACCGGAGUGCCCGGAGAAAACCCACGCAGGCACGGGGAGAACAUGCAAACUCCACACAGGCAGGGACGGGGAUUGAACCCCGCACCUCAGAACUGUGAGGCUGACGCUCUAACCAGUCGGCCACCGUGCCGCCAAAGCUUACAGCACCUGGUAUUCCCAGGCGGUCUCCCAUCCAAGUACUAACCAGGCCCACCCCUGCUUAGCUUCCGAGAUCGGGCGUUCUCAGGGUAGUAUGGCCGUAAGCCACAUUCAUUCGAAUCAAUUCAUUAAAAAGAUUCGUUCAUCGAAUCGUUCUGUUCUUUUUUCACAAAUUAAUUCAAGUGCUUCCUCAUUCAUUUAAUGAUCCAUCCCUGAGGUUCACGUUCACUCCACACAUUCACCGAAUGACUAUGCGUUGUUGUUGUUGUCAUGUACUGUGAACUAGGAAAGGUAGGGAAAUUAUUAAAAAAAAAAAAAAAAAAAAACUUCGGCUAA